rnacentral:rRNA from 1 species
UACGUAGGGGGCAAGCGUUGUCCGGAUUUAUUGGGCGUAAAGAGCGUGUAGGCGGCUUUACAGGUCCGUUGUGAAAACUCGAGGCUCAACCUCGAGACGCCGGUGGAAACCGUAAGGCUAGAGUCCGGAAGAGGAGAGUGGAAUUCCUGGUGUAGCGGUGAAAUGCGCAGAUAUCGGGAGGAACACCAAUGGCGAAGGCAGCUCGCUGGGACGGUACUGACGCUGAGACGCGAAAGCGUGGGGAGCGAACAGG